CAGGCCUAACACAUGCAAGUCGAACGGCAUCGCGGGAAAGCUUGCUUUCCUGGCGGCGAGUGGCGAACGGGUGAGUAACACAUCGGAACGUACCGGCUAGUGGGGGAUAACCCGUCGAAAGACGGGCUAAUACCGCAUACGCUCUUCGGAGGAAAGCAGGGGACCUUCGGGCCUUGCGCUAGUCGAGCGGCCGAUGUCCGAUUAGCUAGUUGGUGGGGUAAAGGCCUACCAAGGCGACGAUCGGUAGCGGGUCUGAGAGGACGAUCCGCCACACUGGGACUGAGACACGGCCCAGACUCCUACGGGAGGCAGCAGUGGGGAAUCUUGGACAAUGGGGGCAACCCUGAUCCAGCAAUGCCGCGUGGGUGAAGAAGGCCUUCGGGUUGUAAAGCCCUUUCGGCAGGGAAGAAAUCGGCGGGGCGAAUAACCCUGCUGGAUGACGGUACCUGCAGAAGAAGCACCGGCUAACUACGUGCCAGCAGCCGCGGUAAU
rnacentral:rRNA from 1 species